rnacentral:misc_RNA from 1 species
AUAGAAACCAGUCACAAGGUGAAGCAGUGGUCACUGUGGACAAUAUGUCAAGCAAAUCUGAGAUGAAGAAAGAAAUAAUACCAGUUAGGAUAGCUGGUGAUAUUGAUGGAGGAUUACUGGAUGGGACUCUUAAUGCGCCAGUUGGUGUGUGGCGCACUGUUGGAGUUUCUAAGGGAACGAAGCAACCAACAACUGGUCUAGAAUCUUGCCACUCUGUUCAGCAUAAUUCUUUCAUUGAGGAUAGUAUGCUAGCUUAUGGGCUAAGGCAACCGCUUCAGGAACUCCUAGAUGGGAUGGCUUUACUUGUGCAGCAAGCUACAUCUUUUGUUGAUGUUGCACUAGAUGCCGAUAACAAUGAUGGAUCUUAUGGUUGGCUCGCACUGCAGGAGCAGUGGAGGCGUGGCUUUUCAUGUCGACCAUCCAUGGUUCAUGCAGGUUGUGGGGGAGUAUUGGCUUCCUGUCAUUCGCUUGAUAUUGCUGGUGUGGAGCUUAUUGAUCCACUUUCAGCUGAUGUUCAGGCAUCAUUUACCCUCACUCUGCUGCAGAAUGAUAUAAAAGCAGCUCUGAAAUCUGCUUUCAGUACAAUGGAAGGUCCUUUAUCUGUUGUUGAUUGGUGCAAAGGUCGCAGUCAAUCAAAUGAUGGGGGAAUAUCUGGUGAUGGUUUUUCUGCAGAGUCCACUGCAAGUGCAAGUGAAUGUCGAGAUUCUUCGAGUACCAUAUCAUUGUCUGUUGGAGAACCUAUAAGUCCAUCUCAGUCCUCUGCUGGUGGAUCAUCUAGUUUGAGGGAUGGAAUUAGGGUGGAUGAGGCAAGUGAGCGCAGAUUAAGCCAAGACACUUGUCUAUCAGAGUCGGAGCAGCUUCCAGGAUCAAGGCUUAGGGCAACAUUGGCUGCAGUACCGUAUCCUGCUAUACUUGUUGGAUAUCAAGACGAUUGGCUUAAGACGUCACCUAGUUCUCUUCAGUUCUGGGAGAAGGCACCUUUUGAGCCUUAUGCAAUGCCCAAGCAUAUGACAUAUCACGUUGUCUGCCCAGACAUCAAUGCUCUAACAACAGCUGCAACUGAUUUUUUCCAACAGCUUGGAACUGUUUAUGAGACAUGCAAACUGGGAACUCAUUCGCCUCAAUUUAUGGGAAAUGAGAUGGAGAUAGAUUCUGGCAAG